rnacentral:rRNA from 1 species
UACGUAGGGGGCAAGGCGUUGUCCGGAUUUAUUGGGCGUAAAGCGCGUGUAGGCGGCCAGGUAGGUCCGCUGUGAAAACCCGAGGCUCAACCUCGAGACGUCGGCGGAAACCAUCUGGCUAGAGUCCGGAAGAGGAGAGUGGAACUGCGAGUGUAGAGGUGAAAUUCGUAGAUAUUCGCAAGAACACCAGUGGCGAAGGCGGCUCACUGGUCCGGUACUGACGCUGAGGUGCGAAAGCGUGGGGAGCAAAGCAGG